AUUUCAUUCUCUUCCUUAUAAGAAAACCCUAGCCUCCAUGGAUGGAGCUUGAAGCCUUAGGCAUUGACCUUGAUCUUUGAGGCCCUUCCACUUACUUUAGACCAUAAAGCUUGGAAUAUUUUUUGUUCCCCUCAUCCUCCUCUUCAAAACCCUUGAAGGAUCUAGCCUAACUCCUAGUUUUGCUUUGGUAUCUAGAGAUUCAAUUCUCUAGUGAGACCGAAAAUUUGGGGCGAUUUCAUUUCGGUGGUAAUUGGGAUUUUCAUUCCAAUUGAGGUACAGGACUCAGGAUUUGAAGAUUCCAUUGCUCCUUGGAUGGCUUACAGUUUCUAAGUUUCUAUUUUAUGCAAGUGUUAGCAUAAGAUGCCUCUUUGUAACCCUAUUUGUUUAAACUUGUAUUCGUUGAUUCGUAUAU